UUGCUGUUUCGCUGACGAGUGGCGGACGGGUGAGUAAUGUCUGGGAAACUGCCUGAUGGAGGGGGAUAACUACUGGAAACGGUAGCUAAUACCGCAUAACGUCGCAAGACCAAAGAGGGGGACCUUCGGGCCUCUUGCCAUCGGAUGUGCCCAGAUGGGAUUAGCUAGUAGGUGGGGUAACGGCUCACCUAGGCGACGAUCCCUAGCUGGUCUGAGAGGAUGACCAGCCACACUGGAACUGAGACACGGUCCAGACUCCUACGGGAGGCAGCAGUGGGGAAUAUUGCAC
rnacentral:rRNA from 1 species